rnacentral:rRNA from 1 species
UCCUACGGGAGGCAGCAGUGAGGAAUAUUGGUCAAUGGCCGAGAGGCUGAACCAGCCAAGUCGCGUGAGGGAAGACGGUCCUAUGGAUUGUAAACCUCUUUAGGCGGGGAGCAGUGCCGGGCACGUGUGCCCGGAGGGAGAGUACCCGCAGAAUAAGCAUCGGCUAACUCCGUGCCAGCAGCCGCGGUAAUACGGAGGAUGCGAGCGUUAUCCGGAUUUAUUGGGUUUAAAGGGUGCGUAGGCGGAUUUUUAAGUCAGCGGUAAAAUGUCCGGGCUCAACCCGGGCCGGCCGUUGAAACUGGGGG